UACGUAGGGACCAAGCGUUGUUCGGAUUUACUGGGCGUAAAGGGCGCGUAGGCGGCACCGCAAGUCGACUGUGAAAUCUCCGGGCUUAACCCGGAAAGGUCAGCCGAUACUGCGGGGCUAGAGUGCAGAAGGGGCAACUGGAAUUCUCGGUGUAGCGGUGAAAUGCGUAGAUAUCGAGAGGAACACCUGCGGCGAAGGCGGGUUGCUGGGCUGACACUGACGCUGAUGCGCGAAAGCUAGGGGAGCGAACGGG
rnacentral:rRNA from 1 species